CCUACGGGUGGCAGCAGUGAGGAAUAUUGGUCAAUGGACGAGAGUCUGAACCAGCCAAGUAGCGUGAAGGAUGACUGCCCUAUGGGUUGUAAACUUCUUUUAUAUGGGAAUAAAAUGUGCCACGUGUGGGAUUUUGUAUGUACCAUAUGAAUAAGGAUCGGCUAACUCCGUGCCAGCAGCAGCGGUAAUACGGAGGAUCCGAGCGUUAUCCGGAUUUAGUGGGUUUAAAGGGAGCGUAGGUGGAUUGUUAAGUCAGUUGUGAAAGUUUGCGGCUCAACCGUAAAAUUGCAGUUGAAACUGGCAGUCUUGAGUACAGUUGCGGUGGGCGGACUUCGUGGUGUAGCGGUGAAAUGCUUCGAUAUCACGAAGAACUCCGAUUGCGAAGGCAGUUCACUGGACUGCAACUGACACUGAUGCUCGACAGUGUGGGUAUCAAACAGGAUUAGAUACCCGUGUAGUC
rnacentral:rRNA from 1 species